GAUGAACGCUGGCGGUAUGCCUAACACAUGCAAGUCGUACGAGAGUUUUUAACUCUAGUGGCGGACGGGUGAGUAACACGUGAGAAUUUACCUUUAGGAGGGGGAUAACAAUUGGAAACGAAUGCUAAUACCCCAUAUGCUUUUGAGUGAAAUGGAUUUAUAAUUAUCCGCCUAGAGAGAAGCUCGCGGCUGAUUAGCUUGUUGGUAAGGUAAGAGCUUACCAAGGCGACGAUCAGUAUCUGGUUUGAGAGGACGAUCAGACACACUGGAACUGAGACACGGUCCAGACUCCUACGGGAGGCAGCAGUGGGGAAUUUUCCGCAAUGGGCGAAAGCCUGACGGAGCAAUACCGCGUGAGGGAAGAAUGCCUAUGGGUUGUAAACCUCUUUUUCAGGGAGGAAUCAAAUGACGUGUACCUGAAGAAUAAGCAUCGGCUAACUCCGUG
rnacentral:rRNA from 1 species